rnacentral:lncRNA from 1 species
CCAGGUUAGAGAGGGUCUGAGCACAACUAGAUAGGUUAGAGAGGGUCUGAGCACUGCUAGCCAGGUUAGAGAGUGUUUGAGCACCGCUAGCCAGGUUAGAGAGGGUAUGAGCAAUAGCCAGGUUGGAGAGGGCCUGAGCACCACUAGAUAGGUUAGAGAGGGCCUGGGCACCACUAGAUAGGUUAGAGAGGGUCUGAGCACCGCUAGAUAGGUUAGAGAGGGUCUGAGCACCAUUAGAUAGGUUAGAGAGUGUGUGAGCACCGCUAACCAGGUUAGAGAGGGUCUGAGGAGCACUAGCCAGGUUAGAGAGGGCCUGAGCACCGCUAGAUAGGUUAGAGAGGGCCUGGGCACCACUAGAUAGGUUAGAGAGGGUCUGAGCACCGCUAGAUAGGUUAGAGAGGGUCUGAGCACCAUUAGAUAGGUUAGAGAGGGUCUGAGCACCACUAGAUAGGUUAGAGAGGGCCUGGGCACCACUAGAUAGGUUAGAGAG